GCUUCAGUUGACGCCGAAAGCUAUAUGACACACAAAUCAUGUUCGUCUUCAUUCUACCAUUUCUUGUAGGCCCCGCUGCCGGUGGCUUCGGCAGUACUCCUCCGAUUCUUGUAGCAAGUUAUAAGACUAACUGGACAGGUUUAUUAGCGUUUCUGCAAACGGAGCAGGUAAUUUGGCUGAAGAACAGCAAUAAAUCUGUUGGUAGCAAUGUCCAGUGUGUUCGAUGGAAGAAGAAGACACUCAAGGCGGACGAUUACACUUUCGACAGAUCUCAGAGUGAAGGAGGAAAAACGAAAACAAGUACUCAACAUGCGAAGCUCAUCAACGAAACCGACAAACCUGCAAUUAAAAUGGAGAGCGGUCCAUACCAAGGUAAGCAAA
rnacentral:lncRNA from 1 species